AAAGUGCUUAACCGUUGGGGCGUUCACUCGUACGUUCAUUGUAUAAUUGUAAAAAUAUUCUAUUAUAGAACAUUAAACAUUUUUCAUUCACGCCCCUGUAGUCAUAGUGCCCCGUGCGUGGGUAUCUCUCGUAGCCGUCUACCCACGGCCCUGGAAUAAUACAUAGUAUACAGUCAAAUACAAUAAUGCAGUUAGGUAAAAAAGACUGAUAUACUUAGCGCGUGGAUGGGUCAUUGUUGUAGGCGAGUAGCCGGGAAGGUAUAGAAGAAAUUUAAUGUAUAUCUACGCGCGAAGAUUUGACUCUUGCUAACAGAAAACGAUUCUGAGCGGGGUUCGGUUAAUAGUGUUAAUUUAUCAACAAUUUGAUAACGUCAAAGUGCAAAAGUGUAAAGUGCAUGAAAAAAUGUCCACGCCAUGCGAGUUUGUUGAAGUUGAUUAUCGAUAUUAUCG